AACGCACAUUGCGCUCCUUGGUAUUCCGGGGAGCAUGCCUGUUUGAGAAUCAGUAAAUUCAUCCGUCAUAAGUUUCUGAUCCUUUCGGGGAUUGGUGGCUCUGAUGGGAUUUGGGCCUGUUUGCGCCUGGCGCAAUGGCUUGAAAUUGAAUUUCAUGGGACAAAGGACCGCCUGUCUGGUUUCAGGAGUUUGGAGGGGUUUUUGGCUCAUUCAUGCUGGCUUGUUACCGUUCAGUGACGACCUCGGUGCCGUGACUCAACCUGUCGCUUUUAGUGACAACCCGGACUAAGACUUCUGUCUGGUCUGAACACUUGGUCUCAAAUCAGGUAGGAAAACCCGCUGAACUUAA
rnacentral:misc_RNA from 1 species